AGCCCCUGCAGAAAGCCGCUGCCUCUUCAGGCUUCAGCAUUAGUUCAAGUUGGUGCUUCUUUACAGAGCAAGAAACUGCAAAUGAGCCAGAUCCCUGGGUGCCAGCCCUGAUACUCAAACUCACAUUACGCCUCCAUGAACCACUGAUGCCAUAGACAGGCCAAGGAAAGAAGGGCCACAGGGUAUAUGUAAGGGGCUGACUUGGAAGUGGCAUCCUUUUUUGGGGUGACAUGUUAGAAGUGCAGGUGUUUCCCAUGCUGAUAGAAGGCAGCAAAUCCUUCAUUUAGGUGAUGAUAAUGCCAAUAAUAACAUGUGGUUUGUUCUGAUAUGUGACAGAUGGUUUCCAGCUGCUCCCAGAGAACUCAACACAGGGAGCUCAUUGCUACUGUCUGGGGCACAUCAGCACCAAUCUGGUCAUGUUGUGGGCUCAGUUCAGAUGGCUAAACAUGGUUCUGAGGCUCUCCUAGCCCAUAAAGAUGCUUCUUGGAGCAAUAUCUGUAUCAUCUGGAGUGGCUCUCACUUGGAAGGUCAGUGCUUGAAUGUAAUGCGCUAUGUCCCGGAAGGAGCUCUGAACCACCAGGAGCCAAAAUGACAGCUAAAACCCAUGCAUGUAAUGAUACGCUCGAUCCAACAUAAUCUGGGGAAUGAAAGCCAUGAAGCAAAAGCUCUUACCUAGUGGAGUCUUCCAAGGUAUGUAAGUAUCAUGCUCUCAGUUGCAAAGUGCAGUUUGCUACACCGGUUUGUGCCUGUGCCUUGCUGCUCACCUCCUUUGUGCCUGGGCUGCUCUCGCAAGGUUGGGUAUCAGGCAGAAGGAGCUUAAAUAAGUUACCCUCUGAACUGGCCUUUUCAAAAGGAGGAAGUAAUACAAUAUGGGGUGAUCACAACAAGGCAUGUAUUCUGGGAUUAUUUAUUGCUUUGCUAUGCUCCAGUAAUUUAACAGUCAAGAUGGUCUUCCUCACGCUAGGCUGUGUUAUAAUGUUAUUGCAGAGCCAGAUCCUCAGGACUUUGCAUCCUGUAACUCAGAAAUAUGGGGUAUGACUGCUGGAAAGAUUUUCCUCUCUCUUUAAGGUCCCAGCUAGCAAAAUAAUAAUAAUAAUAAGAAGAAGAAGAAGAUUUGUUUAUAAACUGUGCACAGGAACAAAGAGAAAAGCUUGUGGUUUGUUUGUAGAGCUUUUCAAAAGGUGGUGUGCUGCCUGUGCUGGGUGCGUGGCCCUUGGUUCUGGAGAUCCAGGCAAGUUUUUAAUGACUUGGAAAUAGAGGAAUCUAAAAUGCGCUUCCAUGGCGUUUGAGUAUUUUCCAUAAUAUUCAACCUGACUUCUUCUAAACCCUCAGAAUUCAGGGCAAUGAUGCCAGCAUGUUUGGCCUUACAGGCAGGAGUUUCAGUAUGAUCUCUCCAUAGACCUUUGUAUUCAGGAUAAUAUCUUCUUUUUCAGGCUAAUUUAGUUUAUUUGGGAAGUCCUAUAAAAAACUUAAAGCUUUUCCAGCAACUAUUGAAAAGCCAUAUUCAUGUGGGCUAGGGCAGACAGGAACCUGGGUUUCAUUUCUAACCUCUCAGUAACUAAUUCCUCUGUAGCAAAUGAGAACUACUACUAGGGGAACCAAGGUGUUAAAUUUGUCUUGUUUCCAUGUCCACCUUUUAAAGAUUAAUACUCAGGUUACUCUUAAUGCAGAGAAGAUAAGCAUUGUGAGGGGAUUAAAGGACAAAAUCCAGCAAAUGAGGGAAAAGUGGGGCUGAAAAAAGAGAAUGGUGUUAAGUGUCUGUAUUUCACACAUCUAGCAUUACUGAGUAGAAGUGCUGCAGGCACUGAUGCAACCUCCAGCCUUAUUAAAUAACAAAAGGGAUUUUUUGAGGUGAAGGUGAGUUAUGCAAAAGUUAGGGAAUACAGACCUGUGUUCUUCACAUAGGGGUCUCUUUACCCUUAUGGUGUACAGUGCACCUUUAUGUCUAGAAAACUUUGAUUGCCAACCAGCACCUCAAAAACUCAGUGUCAGGGUACAAAAAGUGAAGCGUUUGCCCUGAGAAGCACCAAAUGGCUCUGUGGUUUUCCUUUCACUUGUUGCAAUAAAGCAGCUUCUGGACUGAAAGCAGACUUGAAAGUCUCGACUAUCUUUUGGGGGUUUUGGGGGAUCAGAGGGGAGGCUGGGUAGGGUAAAUGUUGAGGUUGGCUCAUCCCGGUCUGAGUACAGACAGAAGUGAGUGGAUUGAGCAAGCUUGCAAAGGCCCAUGAGGUUCAGUAAAACGUGUACUGCCAUGUAAUGCCCAGGGGUAGAUGGAAAAUCCAGCAGAAGUUAGGGAGCUGAAAUAGCCUUAGCAUAACUGUGAUUCUCAGCUAAAUUGGAUCUUUAUGUUGCUAACUUGCAGCUGUAGGACAGAAAUACCACAGGCUAGGUUUAUGGUUUAUCUCACUUCACUUGUUUUUAGUGAUUCAGUUUAAGGUUUCAUGAAGUCUCUUCAUUGCUGUUGCAGUGGCGCAGGGGACCUCGGCAUGUAAACAUAUAGACCCUGGGGUGGCUUGCACUGAAGCCAUGUCCACUCUGCAGAGCCAAAAAAGAGAAAAUCCAGGCCAAGCUUUGUGUCCCUGCUAGAAAUCAUGCAUUUUUGGUGGAGAACAGGUGCUGCACCCUGUCCUUGCCAGCUCUACAGUGAGGUGCAGCAGUGGAGACUUGCUGAAGCUGCCUGAAGGUUUGGAGCUGGUCCAUCAGGCCCGGUGUGGGAUGCAGAAGGGAGCUCCUCAUCUGCAGCUGAUUGGAGUGUGGAGGAGUGUUUCUGUGCGUCUGUCUGGGAGGCAAAUAGAGGCAUCCUCUCUGCUCCCAGGAAACCAGGAGCUGCUGUCUCAAUUAUGAGGAGGAAAGAGGUGUCAUUAGAGAGUCAUCCAACACAUGAGAGAUACUUUGGGGAAACAAACCCCGGACCUGUGUGCUUCCAUGCAAAUGGAAACAUCCAAGGAGCAAAGCAGGAGCGAUUGGAAGGCCUGGCUGGUAUCCAAGCAGCAACAAACAGAUGUGCAAGAGUUUUGGGGAAGGAAGAAAAUGCCUGAAACAAACUAGGGAGGAACAAGUUACUGAC